rnacentral:rRNA from 1 species
GACGAACGCUGGCGGCGUGCUUAACACAUGCAAGUCGAACGGAAAGGCCCUGCUUGCAGGGUACUCGAGUGGCGAACGGGUGAGUAACACGCGGGUGAUCUGCCCUGCUCUUCGGGAUAAGCUUGUGAAACUGGGUCUAAUACCGGAUAGGAGCCAUCUUUAGUGUGGUGGUUGGAAAGUUUUUUCGGUGUGGGAUGAGCUCGCGGCCUAUCGGCUUGUUGGUGGGGUAAUGGCUUACCGAGGCGGCGACGGGUAGCCGGCCUGAGGGGGUGUACGGCGACAUUGGGACUGAGGGACGGCCCAGACACGGACGGGAGGCAGAUGGGGGGAAGAUUGACCAAUGGGCGCAAGCUUGAUGAAGCGACGCCGCGUGGCGGAUAAAGGCCUUAGGAUUGAAGAACCAUUUCGCUAGGAACGAAGCUUUUUUGGAACGGAACCUAGAUAAGAGGCACCGGCUACUUCCGU